rnacentral:rRNA from 1 species
UUUUAUUUGAGAGUUUGAUCCUGGCUCAGGAUGAACGCUGGCGGCGUGCCUAACACAUGCAAGUUGAGCGAUUUACUUCGGUAAAGAGCGGCGGACGGGUGAGUAACGCGUGGGGAACCUACCCUGUACACACGGAUAACAUACUGAAAGGUAUGCUAAUACGGGAUAAUAUAUUUGAGAGGCAUCUCUUAAAUAUCAAAGGUGAGCCAGUACAGGAUGGACCCGCGUCUGAUUAGCUAGUGGGUAAGGUAACGGCUUACCAAGGCGACGAUCAGUAGCCGACCUGAGAGGGUGAUCGGCCACAUUGGAACUGAGACA